rnacentral:tRNA from 1 species
UGGCUCAGACAGUAAAGCGUCUGUCUGCAAUACAGAGGACCUGGGUUCGAUCCCUG